rnacentral:rRNA from 1 species
UACAGAGGUCCCAAGCGUUGUUCGGAUUCACUGGACGUAAAGGGUGCGUAGGUGGUCGGGUAAGUCCGAUGUGAAAUCUCCAGGCUCAACCUGGAAAUGGCAUUGGAUACUAUUCGGCUUGAGGAGUGGAGGGGGGACUGGAAUUCCCAGUGUAGAGGUGAAAUUCGUAGAUAUUGGGAAGAACACCGGUGGCGAAGGCGGCUCACUGGCUCAUUACUGACGCUCAGGCGCGAUAGCGUGGGGAUCAAACAGG